rnacentral:rRNA from 1 species
AUGGCGGGAGACGACGCCCGGACCGGCGCGGUGGCGCCGGCGGAGGAGGAGCCGCACGUGGAGCGGCUUCCGGCCGACAUCCUCGCCCACGUCCUCUCCCUCCUCCCCUCCUUCCACGACCUCUCCAUGGCCGGGGCAGUGAGCCGGCGGUGGCGCCGCGCGGUGGGCCGGUCGCUGGCGACGCGGCGGCGGCUGAGCCUGGCGGGGCAACGCACCGGCGACGAGUCCACCGCGCGCCUCGUCCGCGCCGCCGUCAACCUCCGCGACCUCGACAUUUCACGAAGCUGCUGGGGGUGCCACAUCACGGACCAGGGCCUGCUCGACAUCUCCUCGGCGGCGUGCGUCGGCAACCUCACCUCCGUCUCGCUGUGGGGGCUCGCCGGGAUCACUGACAAGGGCGUCGUCCAUCUGGUCUCAAAGGCUCGUUCACUGCAGCACCUGAACAUUGGUGGGACAUUCAUCACUGACGAAUCGCUCUAUGCAGUUGCAGACAGUUGUACAAACUUGAAGAGUAUCAUACUGUGGAGCUGCCGCCACGUGACUGAGGCCGGACUAGUAGCACUCGUGAACAAGUGCCCGGAACUGGAGUGCAUCAACGUUGGCGGGAUGCGGGUGUCGCCGGAGAGCUUCGCGGGCCUGCAGUCCAUCAGCCCCGCCCUGCGGAUCAGGUCCAUCCCGCAGAUCCUCAACGCUGACGUGCAGGUCGCCUGA